GGCAAAUGUUCUUUACACACAUCUUGGACAAUAAAGGAGAGAGGACAGAAGCAGGUAAAGGUUUGGUGAAUGCAUCAGCAAGUUGGUGUUUUGAUCGAACGAAAUCGUGAGCUAAACCCAAAACGGGCUUUUUUCUCUCUCUACCUCCAAAACGCUCUCCCUUCUCUCUAGAAUGGGAGAAAACCUCCAAAACUCCAACAAACUUGAUCCACCACCAAAACCACCGGAUUGCAGCACUCUAAGUGGUGGAAAAUCAUCACCAACAACCACCCAAACAUCUCCUAUAACACCAAUAUCAGAUUCAUCCCCCAACUCAAUAGAUCUGAGUUUGAAAAAUCAUGGCACGAAUCCCAAG
rnacentral:lncRNA from 1 species